GUAAAUAAAACGUUAUUAAAGUUUAAUUUUGAUAUAUUAUAUUUUUUCUGUUUUUCAGUUAACAUUUAGAGAAACACAUCUAAAGAUGGAUCUAUAGCUUUUUAGAUGUUGACAAAAGGAUCACCUCAACACAAAGCGUUUAAUCAUACUUCGAAGUGAUGCAAAUAGAGAACUGUAUGCAGGCAGUGGAACUUGUGUAGAGCUGUGACGGGUGCAACAGCAGACCAGUCCGGGUAAAUCACUGAUGGCAGAAUUGAGGAUCCCAAUAAUCAAACAACUCCUUUAAGAACAAGGUCUUCUUUAGAAAAUUUCAACUGGGAACUGCAAUGUUUCAUUUGUGGAGAAAAAUGUGAUCCAAAAAGGGACAGUAAUUCAA